rnacentral:rRNA from 1 species
AGAGUUUGAUCCUGGCUCAGGAUGAACGCUAGCUACAGGCUUAACACAUGCAAGUCGAGGGGCAGCGGUAUCGGAAGCUUGCUUUCGGUAGCCGGCGACCGGCGCACGGGUGAGUAACGCGUAUCGAACCUGCCUCAUACUCGGGAAUAGCCUUGCGAAAGUAAGAUUAAUGCCCGGUGUUUUCAGAGUCCCGCAUGAGGCUUUGAACAAAGAUUUAUCGGUAUGAGAUGGCGAUGCGUCCCAUUAGCUUGUUGGCGGGGUAACGGCCCACCAAGGCAUCGAUGGGUAGGGGUUCUGAGAGGAAGGUCCCCCACAUUGGAACUGAGACACGGUCCAAACUCCUACGGGAGGCAGCAGUGAGGAAUAUUGGUCAAUGGGCGGAAGCCUGAACCAGCCAUGCCGCGUGCGGGAAGGAGGCCCUAUGGGCUGUGAACCGCUUUUGCCUGGGGGCAAUAAGGGCGCCGUGCGCGCCCGAUGAGAGUACCAGGCGAAUAAGCAUCGGCUAACUCCGUGCCAGCAGCCGCGGUAAUACGGGGGAUGCGAGCGUUAUCCGGAUUCAUUGGGUUUAAAGGGUGCGUAGGCUGUGCGUCAAGUCGGGGGUGAAAUUCCGGUGCUCAACACCGGGGCUGCCCUUGAUACUGUCGCGCUGGAGUGCGGAUGCCGCCGGAGGAAUGAGUGGUGUAGCGGUGAAAUGCUUAGAUAUCACUCAGAACACCGAUUGCGAAGGCAUCUGGCGAAUCCGUAACUGACGCUGAGGCACGAAAGCGUGGGGAUAGAACAGGAUUAGAUACCCUGGUAGUCCACGCCGUAAACGAUGAUGGCUAACCGCCGGCGGCAUACAGUCGGUGGCCAAGCGAAAGCGAUAAGCCAUCCACCUGGGGAGUACGUCGGCAACGAUGAAACUCAAAGGAAUUGACGGGGGCCCGCACAAGCGGAGGAACAUGUG